CUAGGGGUCAAACACAGCAUAUGUCCGUAGCGUUCAAGAGAUCCGUGGAUACGUGACGCUGCGCGUGAUUGACAUUCACGAGGCCACGCCCACACGCAGUUUGAGCAAAAUUGGUCCAGUAGGAAAUCAUGUAUCUGGCGACAUCACGAUGGCGAGGAAAGUAGCCCAGAGGAGUGCUGAGAGGCUUCCCAAACACAUACUGAAGGUCAUCAGCGUGAUCGGCACCCAUCCAGAGUGGGAAGACAGGCAUGCGAGAGGGCUCAGUGAACAGAUACGACACCUGGAAGUUGACGCUGGCGGCUCCUGCUGACUCCCCAAAGAUGGUGAUGUUGUCUGGAUUGCCACCAAAAUUCCUGAUGUUUCUGUGUACCCAGGAGAUAGCGGCGUGCUGAUCCCACAGGCCAUAGUUUCCUGUCGAACAGGACAUGCUCGGGUCAUCAUUUAAAUAAUACAAUCUAUCAAUCCAUAUAUACAUACAUGAAUACAGCGGGGUCCAAAACUUUGAAUGGAGCUUCUAUCCAGCUUCUGGGUUCUUUCAAAGGUUCUUUCAAAGUGCUUCAGCAUCUCCACUGCUGAGGAAUCCCAGGGAACCGACACGAUAGUUGAAUGUCACCACAAUGACAUUUCCUCUGUCUGCGAUCUCCUGUCCGUCGUACAGGUAGUUGUCCAAGAAGUUUGCACCCUGACCAGCACCAAGCAGGAAGCCACCACCAUAGAUGAACACCAUAACAGGCAGAUUGGUAGACACUGCAAAGGAGAAGUUCUGCCCUGAGGGACCCAGAUGUUCAGGUAGAGACAGUCUUCACUGCCCACAACAUCAGUAGCGAGAAGAUUGAGCUGCAUGCACCUCUUUCUGUAGUCGGUGGCUUUCAGAACACCUGUGCAGGUAAAGUCAGCAGCAGUGCACCGUCAAUACACUCCUUUAUUUUAGACCCCAGCUGUGCCUGAAAACAUUUAAACAGACAGGUGUACUCACCGUCCCAGCCUGGGUGAGGAACGGGCUUCUCUAAUCUGCCAGGUGGAGCGGCGAAGGGGAUUCCCUUGAACACGUCCAUAUAGCGGAAGAGUCCAACACUGUGACUCUUUCCCUGUACCAUCCCUCCCUCGGUGUACACAGCUCCCAACUGCAAAACGUUCACAGUUCAAACAUUGAUGAAGGCAACAGAGAUGAAAACUCCCAGCAUCGCCAUCAUCAUCAUCAGACAGUUGCUGCAAGUGUGGCAUUGAAGUGACUUCUGCUGCUUUUAUAAACAGGCC